ensembl:lncRNA
GUAUACAAUGAGGUUGGCUGUCGUGCGUCCGCAAUAAAAAAGAGUGUCACAUCUCGCCGCCCCUUGGCUGCUCCAUCUUGUCGGGGUUUCCGUGGUCCCGUGUCACCAGGGCGAUACGAGUGUAACUCUGACCCGGAGAACAACAACAACAACAUCAUUAAAAAGGAAGAGGAACCUCUCCCCCUGACCGCCAACCAGCGACAGCAGCAGCAGCAAGAGUAUCUCACCCCUUCCUGGUCCCUCUCCCCUUCCUCCUCCCCCGUCUCCCACUCCGACGGCAGCGACUCCGAGCCUGGGAACGACGAGGGCCGCGCCCGCACCGUCCAGCGCCAGCGCCGGCGCCGCCGCGUGCCCCACACCAAGAAGAAGACCCUUAUCCGCACCACGCACAGCAACACCCCCGUGGGCUCCCCCACACGCCCCUACCGCCCCAGCCACUCC